CAAUUAUCUCAUCUGUGAAAUGGAAGGAAGAACCCCAGUUUCACAGAGCUGCUGGCAUGAGAAUUAAUAAGUUGAAGGCAGGAGGGAGACCGACCUGCCACAGAAACCUGCAAGGGUGUACUGCCACAUCGUUCUGAAACCCAAGCUGCAAUUGUACAAAUGGCUCAAAAUCCCUUUUGACUAAAGGAUAAAGAUUGAAAGCAAAAGACGUAUUUUGACCAAGUGUGGAGGGAAACCAACUUUGAAUGAAACACGAAUAACAGAUAAGAUAGUGAAGAAAGUGCUUC
rnacentral:lncRNA from 1 species